UACGUAGGUGGCAAGCGUUGUCCGGAUUUAUUGGGUUUAAAGGGUGCGUAGGCGGCCUGAUAAGUCAGUGCUGAAAUACCCCGGCUUAACCGGGGGGGUGGCAUUGAUACUGUCGGGCUUGAGUACAGAUGAGGUAGGCGGAAUUGACGGUGUAGCGGUGAAAUGCAUAGAUAUCGUCAAGAACACCUAUAGCGAAGGCAGCUUACUGGGCUGUAACUGACGCUGAGGCACGAAAGUGUGGGGAUCAAACAGG
rnacentral:rRNA from 1 species